CGCCUCUGCUCACCAGCUGGCAAUCUGUUUGGACCCAGCUCCGCCCUCGCCCCUUCUUUCGCCCUCGCUCCUUCUUUCCCCCAGUUCCUCAGCCUUUGCCUCACCCUCUUGAGGUAUCUACUCCCUCCUGGUUUAAUUCCCGUAGCUCAGGGACCCCAGCGCCAGCCCAUCUGAGUUACACACCAGGUGUCAUCGCAUGCACGACAGCAGCAACGCAAAGGGAGCCCCCACCAGGCUGCUCCCCCAGAGGGAGGUGGGGCCCGAAUAGAAGAGGCACAGGGGAUGACGUGGAGGGCCAGCAGAAGCCUCAAGCCAGGAGGCGGGUCAGACCUGGAGAAGGAGCCCAGUGAGAAUGCAGAGAGCUCACCGAGGGGGCAGCCAUCCACACAUCUAGAGCUCCUUGGGACCCACCCAGAAGAGAAGAGAAAGAAGAGUGAGAAGAGGCCUUUGGGGUACAGAAAGGAAUGCUUGGGGUUCAGAGAGGCUGGAGGGAGAUGGGAGAGAGAAAUCCUAGAUGGGAGUUUGCUGGCUGGUGGUUUCCUUCUUCCCAGAUUCUGCUGUGCCUGGGGAACCCUCUGAGAAAUUGUAAG